AACGAACGCUGGCGGCAGGCUUAACACAUGCAAGUCGAACGCCCCGCAAGGGGAGUGGCAGACGGGUGAGUAACGCGUGGGAAUCUACCUAGUUCUACGGAACAACACAGGGAAACUUGUGCUAAUACCGUAUACGCCCUACGGGGGAAAGAUUUAUCGGAAUUAGAUGAGCCCGCGUAAGAUUAGCUAGUUGGUGGGGUAAUGGCCUACCAAGGCGACGAUCUUUAGCUGGUCUGAGAGGAUGAUCAGCCACACUGGGACUGAGACACGGCCCAGACUCCUACGGGAGGCAGCAGUGGGGAAUAUUGGACAAUGGGCGAAAGCCUGAUCCAGCCAUGCCGCGUGAGUGAUGAAGGCCUUAGGGUUGUAAAGCUCUUUCAGUAGGGAAGAUAAUGACGGUACCUACAGAAGAAGCCCCGGCUAACUUCGUGCCAGCCGCCGCGGUAAGAC
rnacentral:rRNA from 1 species